rnacentral:lncRNA from 1 species
UUUUUUAUACUUUUUUUUAGAUCACGCACGUUAUGAUUGUUCAGUUGCUUUUUGGUUUCAAUGGUUUUUAUUUCUUGGUAUUUUCGUUUUCACUAAGGACAAUAGUUCUGUUUUGUUUGUUUUGGAAUGUGACUCUAGGAAUGUCUUGAAACGACCGUUUUCUAAUUGAUUUUCUUAGGGUUUCCUUUUGUCUUCCUUAAGAUGGCCGAACCGGGUCAUAGACCAAACCCGGCCCGCCCCCUUAUUGCUUGAAGAGCCU